AUUGAACGCUGGCGGCAGGCCUAACACAUGCAAGUCGAGCGGUAGCACAGGAGAGCUUGCUCUCCGGGUGACGAGCGGCGGACGGGUGAGUAAUGUCUGGGAAACUGCCUGAUGGAGGGGGAUAACUACUGGAAAUGGUAGCUAAUACCGCAUAACGUCGCAAGACCAAAGAGGGGGACCUUCGGGCCUCUUGCCAUCAGAUGUGCCCAGAUGGGAUUGGCUAGUAGGUGGGGUAACGGCUCACCUAGGCGACGAUCCCUAGCUGGUCUGAGAGGAUGACCAGCCACACUGGAACUGAGACACGGUCCAGACUCCUACGGGAGGCAGCAGUGGGGAAUAUUGCACAAUGGGCGCAAGCCUGAUGCAGCCAUGCCGCGUGUAUGAAGAAGGCCUUCGGGUUGUAAAGUACUUUCAGCGGGGAGGAAGGUGUUGUGGUUAAUAACCACAGCAAUUGACGUUACCCGCAGAAGAAGCACCGGCUGACUCCGUGCCAGCCGCCGCGGUAAAAC
rnacentral:rRNA from 1 species